AGAGAAGUGGCGGGCUUCGGGUGGGUUGGGGUGAGGGGAGUGAAUGACGUUUCCAGAGACUCCGAGGAAAGAAAGGUUCCACAAUCGGGGUUCCAGUGUCCCGGGUGCUGGUCCGUCUACCAGGCACUCUGUCCCCUCGAUCCCUUGUCUGUUUGCAGGUUUGUAGGUCUGCUGGCCUGUAAGGCUCGGCGCAAGUCUCAGCUAGAGAAGGAGAAAACUGCCUUGGUUGGAACCUUGCAGGUCAAUGUGAAGACUCUGUCUAUCACCGUGGAAGGACCACUAACAACAGAAGACAAGGGAAAACGAAGGAAUUUACGCGACUUUUGUAGAGAUUCAUCACAAGAGAGCUACUGGAGCCUGGAAGAAGCUGAAGACUGCUACCCUCCAUCGUUACUCAUCCUGGACCUAAGAGACCUCUUCAAUCAGAUGUCAAAGAAUCUGCAGAGGGUGUCACUGAAGAUCCAGCCUUAGCCAAUCACCGCCUCAUUGGGUGAAAGUUCCAGCGCUCAAUCCAGGACCACGCUCUUAUUGGCCAGGCAGGGGCUCCCACAGAGCUUUGAGUAACUUCUUGGUUGUGCAGGCUGCAGGCAAUGUUGGCAUUGUAAAUUCCUCCCUGGCAGCCUCCUUCACGAGGUGAGGGGAUCACUUCGGCUGCCUGCUGUGGACAAAGAACAUCCAAUUACAGCAUCACGAGUGCUAUUGUUGCCUGUGGUGGUCUCCCUGCCCAAGCGGGACCGCUUUGCAGAGACCAGACGCGUAUCGCAGCUUGAGCUGAAAAUGCAUUUGUUGCAGCUUAGGUUGAAUUAUUUUUCGUUUACCCUUUCUUCUACACGCGCCUGAUGGAUGGUGAACCUAUUCAUGAAAAAUGUGCACUGCUCUUCUGUCUAUUGUACUGACUUUAACCUCUUCCACCCAGGCCGGCAUCUGUGUGUAUCAUCAAUAAAGUUGUGUGCUUUGAUUGGCAGAAAAGAGGUAUGGUCCUUGUCCUUGAGUU
ensembl:lincRNA